rnacentral:rRNA from 1 species
GACGAACGCUGGCGGCGUGCUUAACACAUGCAAGUCGAACGGAAAGGCCCUGCUUUUGUGGGGUGCUCGAGUGGCGAACGGGUGAGUAACACGUGAGUAACCUGCCCUUGACUUUGGGAUAACUUCAGGAAACUGGGGCUAAUACCGGAUAGGAGCUCCUGCUGCAUGGUGGGGGUUGGAAAGUUUCGGCGGUUGGGGAUGGACUCGCGGCUUAUCAGCUUGUUGGUGGGGUAGUGGCUUACCAAGGCUUUGACGGGUAGCCGGCCUGAGAGGGUGACCGGCCACAUUGGGACUGAGAUACGGCCCAGACCCCUACGGGAGGCAGCGGUGGGGAAUAUUGCACAAUGGGCGGAAGCCUGAUGCAGCAACGCCGCGUGCGGGAUAACGGCCUUCGGGUUGUAAACCGCUUUCGCCUGUGACGAAGCGUGAGUGACGGUAAUGGGUAAAGAAGCACCGGCUAACUACGUG